rnacentral:rRNA from 1 species
UACGGGGGGGGCAAGCGUUGUUCGGAAUUACUGGGCGUAAAGGGCUCGUAGGCGGCCAACUAAGUCAGACGUGAAAUCCCCAGGCUCAACCUGGGAACUGCGUCUGAUACUGGAUGGCUUGAAUCCGGGAGAGGGAUGCAGAACUCCAGGUGUAGCGGUGAAAUGCGUAGAUAUCUGGAGGAAUACCGGUGGCGAAGGCGGCAUCCUGGACCGGCAUUGACGCUGAGGAGCGAAAGCUAGGGGAGCAAACGGG